UACGAAGGGGGCUAGCGUUGCUCGGAAUCACUGGGCGUAAAGCGCACGUAGGCGGCUUUUUAAGUCAGGGGUGAAAUCCUGGAGCUCAACUCCAGAACUGCCUUUGAUACUGGGAAGCUUGAGUCCGGGAGAGGUGAGUGGAACUCCGAGUGUAGAGGUGAAAUUCGUAGAUAUUCGGAAGAACACCAGUGGCGAAGGCGGCUCACUGGCCCGGUACUGACGCUGAGGUGCGAAAGCGUGGGGAGCAAACAGGAUUAAGAAACCC
rnacentral:rRNA from 1 species